rnacentral:rRNA from 1 species
AUUGAACGCUGGCGGCAGGCUUAACACAUGCAAGUCGAGCGGGGAAGGGUAGCUUGCUACCUAACCUAGCGGCGGACGGGUGAGUAAUGCUUAGGAAUCUGCCAUUUAGUGGGGGACAACAUUCCGAAAGGAAUGCUAAUACCGCAUACGUCCUACGGGAGAAAGCAGGGGACCUUCGGACCUUGCGCUAAAUGAUGAGCCUAAGUCGGAUUAGCUAGUUGGUGGGGUAAAGGCCUACCAAGGCGACGAUCUGUAGCGGGUCUGAGAGGAUGAUCCGCCACACUGGGACUGAGACACGGCCCAGACUCCUACGGGAGGCAGCAGUGGGGAAUAUUGGACAAUGGGCGGAAGCCUGAUCCAGCCAUGCCGCGUGUGUGAAGAAGGCCUUAUGGUUGUAAAGCACUUUAAGCGAGGAGGAGGCUACUAGUAUUAAUACUACUGGAUAGUGGACGUUACUCGCAGAAUAAGCACCGGCUAACUCUGUGCCAGCAGCCGCAGUAAAAC